GAAUGAGUUCAACUCCCGAAAGCUGUUAGAAGGCAAAACUUGCACAGUUUAAAGAUUAAAUCAAACGAGAUACGUUGUCUUUUUGAACUGCGAGCUAAUUUCACGGAUUUUCACACUCGGGAAGCACACUUAUUAUAUACAUUUUUCAAAUACAUGCGCUUGUUAUAAAAAUAUACUGAGCUCAGAGGUCAAGAUUACAAGGUAAGAUAUAUAACUUAUUACAUGCUUGUAAUUUACCGAAACAUUUUUAGCCCAAUUUUAAUAUAUAUUUUAUGAGGAUUGCUGAUUUGCACGCUAGUCUAAUAAAAUAGCCGAGUAUAUAUUACGGUAUAUACCGACAAGUUUUUGAAUUGGUCUCCCCAUGUCAUAUCUGCAAACCGGUGUAUAUAUUAAUAUAUAUACUUAAGUUACUGUAGGGGCAUAUCACUAUACUAUGGUAUCUUAGGGUAUUACAAUAACAUAUUAUAGCAAUGGGGAAAAUAUAUGUGCAGGAAAAGGCCUUAUGUAGUUUUAUUCAGCUUGUAUAAUGUGUG